AUUGAACGCUGGCGGCAUGCCUUACACAUGCAAGUCGAACGGCAGCACGGACUUCGGUCUGGUGGCGAGUGGCGAACGGGUGAGUAAUGUAUCGGAACGUACCUUUCAGUGGGGGAUAACGUAGCGAAAGUUACGCUAAUACCGCAUAUUCUGUGAGCAGGAAAGCAGGGGAUCGAAAGACCUUGCGCUGAUUGAGCGGCCGAUAUCAGAUUAGCUAGUUGGUGGGGUAAAGGCCUACCAAGGCGACGAUCUGUAGCGGGUCUGAGAGGAUGAUCCGCCACACGGGAACGGAGACACGGUCCAGGCUCCUGAGGGAGGGCGCAGUGGGGAACUUUAGGCAACGGGGGCAAACCUGAUCCAGCCAUGCCGAGUGAGUGAAGAAGGCCUUCGGGUUGGAAAGCUCUUUCGGCCGGGAAGAAAUCGCAUAGGCUAAUACCCUGUGUGGAUGACGGUACCGGAAUAAGAAGCACCGGCUAACUACGUG
rnacentral:rRNA from 1 species